UUUGCUUAAAAUAAAAGGUCCAGCCUGCCCAGUGACACUGUUCAACGGCCGCGGUAUCCUAACCGUGCGAAGGUAGCGUAAUCACUUGUUCUUUAAAUGAGGACUAGUAUGAAAGGCACCACGAGAGUCAUACUGUCUCCUCUUUCCAAUCAGUUAAACUAAUCUCCCCGUGAAGAAGCGGGGAUAACUUUAUAAGACGAGAAGACCCUAUGGAGCUUUAAACGAAUAACACUUGCCCCCCCUCCUUUCAAUUUCAGAAAAAUCUAUUACCUUGGCAUCAUACUUAUAAGUUUUUGAUUGGGGUGAUCACGGAACAAAAAAUAACCUCCGCAAUGAAAGACUCUCCACAACUAAGUCAAGAACCACAACUCUACACAUCAACAAAUUGACACCAAUUGACCCAAUUUAUUGAUCAAUGAAC
rnacentral:rRNA from 1 species